rnacentral:rRNA from 1 species
AGAGCGAACGCUGGCGGCAGGCCUAACACAUGCAAGUCGAACGGACUCUUCGGGGUUAGUGGCGGACGGGUGAGUAACACGUGGGAACGUGCCUUUAGGUUCGGAAUAGCUCCUGGAAACGGGUGGUAAUGCCGAAUGUGCCCUUCGGGGGAAAGAUUUAUCGCCUUUAGAGCGGCCCGCGUCUGAUUAGCUAGUUGGUGAGGUAAAGCUCACCAAGGCUACGAUCAGUAGCUGGUCUGAGAGGAUGACCAGCCACAUUGGGACUGAGACACGGCCCAAACUCCUAACGGGAGGCAGCAGUGGGGAAUC